CGCGUAGGCGGCCGGGAAAGUCGGUGGUGAAAGCUCAGGGCUCAACUCUGAGUCGGCCAUCGAUACUUCUUGGCUCGAGUCGACUAGAGGCAGAUGGAAUUCCGGGUGUAGCGGUGGAAUGCGUAGAGAUCCGGAAGAACACCGGUGGCGAAGGCGGUCUGCUGGGGUCGAACUGACGCUGAUGCGCGACAGCGUGGGGAGCAAACA
rnacentral:rRNA from 1 species